AUUGAACGCUGGCGGCAGGCCUAACACAUGCAAGUCGAGCGGCAGCGACACCAACAAUCCUUCGGGUGCGUUGGUGGGCGGCGAGCGGCGGACGGGUGAGUAAUGCCUGGGAAUAUGCCCUGAUGUGGGGGAUAACCAUUGGAAACGAUGGCUAAUACCGCAUAAUCUCUUCGGAGCAAAGAGGGGGACCUUCGGGCCUCUCGCGUCAGGCUUAGCCCAGGUGAGAUUAGCUAGUUGGUGAGGUAAGAGCUCACCAAGGCGACGAUCUCUAGCUGGUCUGAGAGGAUGAUCAGCCACACUGGAACUGAGACACGGUCCAGACUCCUACGGGAGGCAGCAGUGGGGAAUAUUGCACAAUGGGGGAAACCCUGAUGCAGCCAUGCCGCGUGUGUGAAGAAGGCCUUCGGGUUGUAAAGCACUUUCAGUCGUGAGGAAGGCGUUAUCGUUAAUAGCGGUAGUGUUUGACGUUAGCGACAGAAGAAGCACCGGCUAACUCCGUGCCAGCAGCCGCCGUAAAAC
rnacentral:rRNA from 1 species